CCCCUAGUAACUGCGAGUGAAGAGGGAAAAGCUCAAAUUUAAAAUCUGUCAGCCUUUACGGUUGUCCGAGUUGUAAUCUAGAGAAGUGCUUUCCGUGCCGAACCGUGUACAAGUCUCUUGGAACAGAGCAUCGUAGAGGGUGAAAAUCCCGUCUUUGACACGGAUUAACGGUGCUUUUGUGAUGCGCUUUCGAAGAGUCGAGUUGUUUGGGAAUGCAGCUCAAAAUGGGUGGUAAAUUCCAUCUAAAGCUAAAUAUUGGCGAGAGACCGAUAGCGAACAAGUACCGUGAGGGAAAGAUGAAAAGAACUUUGGAAAGAGAGUUAAACAGUACGUGAAAUUGUUGAAAGGAAAACGCUUGAAGUCAGUCACGUUGGUCAAAAGUCAACCUUUAACAGGGUGUAAUUUUUGGCUUUACGGGUCAGCAUCAAUUUUGAUCAUUGGAUAAAAGCUAAUAUUAUAUGCGUUUUCGGACGUGUAGUCUUUGGUUGAAUGCAAUGGUUGGGAUUGAGGAACUCAGCAUGCCGAAAGGCCGGGUCUUUGACCACGUACAUGCUUAGGAUGCUGGCAUAAUGGCUUUAAUCGACCCGUCUUGAAACACGGACCAAGGAGUCUAACAUGCACGCGAGUGUUUGAGUGGAAAACCCGAGCGCGUAAUGAAAAGUGAAAAGUUGAGAUCUUUGUUAUGAAGAGCAUCGACGCCCGGACCAGAACUUUUGUGACGGUUCCGCGGUAUAGCGUGUAUGUUGGGACCCGAAAGAUGGUGAACUAUGCCUGAAUAGGGUGAAGCCAGAGGAAACUCUGGUGAAGGCUCGUAGCGAUUCUGACGUGCAAAUCGAUCGU
rnacentral:rRNA from 1 species